rnacentral:rRNA from 1 species
UACAGAGGGUGCGAGCGUUAAUCGGAAUUACUGGGCGUAAAAGCGCACGUAGGUGGCGACGUAAGUCGGGUGUGAAAGCCCCGGGCUCAACCUGGGAAAUUGCAUUCGAGACGUGGCAUUGCUGGAGUACGGAAGAGGGAGGGCGGAAUUCCCGGUGUAGCGGUGAAAAUGCGUAGAAUAUCGGGGAGGAACAUCAGUGGCGAAGGCGGCCCUCUGGUCCAGUACUGACACUCAAGUGCGAAAGCGUGGGGAGCAAACAGGA